rnacentral:rRNA from 1 species
ACACGUAGGAGGCAAACGUUAUCCGGAUUUACUGGGCGUAAAGCGCGUGUAGGUGGUAUAGUAAGUAGGGCGUGAAAGCUCCUGGCUCAACUGGGAGAGGCCGUUCUAAACUGCUAUACUCGAGUUUGGUAGAGGAAGAUGGAAUUCCAGGUGUAGCGGUAAAAUGCGCAGAUAUCUGGAGGAACACCAGUGGCGAAAGCGGUCUUCUGGACCAAUACUGACACUCAGACGACGAAAGCGUAGGGUAGAC